rnacentral:rRNA from 1 species
GUGGGGAAUAUUGGACAAUGGGCGAAAGCCUGAUCCAGCCAUGCCGCGUGUGUGAAGAAGGUCUUCGGAUUGUAAAGCACUUUAAGUUGGGAGGAAGGGCAGUAAGUUAAUACCUUGCUGUUUUGACGUUACCGACAGAAUAAGCACCGGCUAACUUCGUGCCAGCAGCCGCGGUAAUACGAAGGGUGCAAGCGUUAAUCGGAAUUAAUGGGCGUACAGCGCGCGUACGUGGUUUUGUAAGUUGGAGGUGAAAUCCCCGGGCUCAACCUGGGAACUGCCUCCAAAACUGCAUGACUAGAGUACGGUAGAGGGUAGUGGAAUUUCCUGUGUAGCGGUGAAAUGCGUAGAUAUAGGAAGGAACACCAGUGGCGAAGGCGACUACCUGGACUGAUACUGACACUGAGGUGCGAAAGCGUGGGGAGCAAACAGGAUUAGAUACCCGAGUAGUCC